rnacentral:lncRNA from 10 species
GUCGUGCAAAUGUUUUUAUAUCUGGAAACAGUCAGUGUUUUUUAUGGAAACAGAGCCAGAGCUGUGAUUAAAAUAGCCAUGGAGCUACUUUCUGUUUCAACCAACUCAACAAUCUUAAAACCAAACAAUUUUUAAAAAAUAAUUUUAUUUUAAAUUUGAAUAAGAUACAAAUCUAGUUUCUUUAGGAAUGAAUUUUUCUCCCGUUGGGCAUUUUAGAUCUUUAUUAAAAAGAAAGCAUAGACAUUCUCAAGAAAGCCUAUCCUUAUAUUUUGAACAAAUAAUUGAUUAUUUAAAAACUCUUUCAGCGAGCAUUUAUUGAGUUCUUACUGGGGGCAAAGUGCCAGGUCAGGCCUUGGUCAAGUUCCUCCCUGCAGCAGAUGGUAUGGUGGAUGAAGUUUUGUGUUUGCUCUACUGACCUGAAGUGAGGAACAACCACAUACAUCUUUGUCUUCACUCUGUCCAGCUGUCAACUGCAUUGUUCCCUCACGUCUUCCUGCAAAGUACCAUUAUUUCCACACCUUAAGAAUUAAAGAGUGAAGAGAAAACGACAAAAUGUUCUUGUUUAUCAGGAGAUGGGGGUGAGCUGAGCUUUCCACAAGGUCCUGAAUGGAUGAGAAGGACCCAAAACAUAUGGAAAAUAUGGAGAAUAGGGUAUAAGUAAUAAAAAUAAAAAUAAAAUAAAUAAAAUAAAUUGGGAAU